rfam:Hordeum vulgare subsp. vulgare, WGS project CAJW01000000 data, contig: morex_contig_1598657
GUAUUACUCCCUCCAUCCGGAAUUACUUGUCGCACAAAUGAAUAAACAUGGAUGUAUCUAGAACUAAAAUACAUUAGGUACAUCCAUUCUUAUGACAAGUAUUUCCGGAUGAAAGGAGUAUUUA